rnacentral:rRNA from 1 species
CAACGCCGCGUGAGUGAAGAAGGGUUUCGGCUCGUAAAACUCUGUUGUUAAGGAAAAACGACAGGUAGAGUAACUGCUACCUGUGUGACGGUACUUAACCAGAAAGCCACGGCUAACUACGUGCCAGCAGCCGCGGUAAUACGUAGGUGGCAAGCGUUAUCCGGAAUUAUUGGGCGUAAAGCGCGCGUAGGCGGUCUUUUAAGUCUGAUGUGAAAGCCCCCGGCUCAACCGGGGAGGGUCAUUGGAAACUGGGAGACUUGAGUGCAGAAGAGGAGAGUGGAAUUCCAUGUGUAGCGGUGAAAUGCGCAGAGAUAUGGAGGAACACCAGUGGCGAAGGCGGCUCUCUGGUCUGUAACUGACGCUGAUGUGCGAAAGCGUGGGGAUCAAACAGGAUUAGAUACCCUGGUAGUCCACGCCGUAAACGAUGAGUGCUAAGUGUUAGGGGGUUUCCGCCCCUUAGUGCUGCAGCAAACGCAUUAAGCACUCCGCCUGGGGAGUACGGCCGCAAGGCUGAAACUCAAAAGGAAUUGACGGGGGACCCCGCACAAGCGGGUGGAGCAUGUGGUUUUAAUUCGAAGCAACGCGAAGAACCUUACCAAAUCUUGACAUCCUCUGACCCCCCUGGAGACAGGGGUUCCCUUCGGGGCAGAGUGACAGGUGGUGCAUGGUUGUCGUCAGCUCGUGUCGUGAGAUGUUGGGUUAAGUCCCGCAACGAGCGCAACCCUUAUGACUAGUUGCCAGCAUUGAGUUGGGCACUCUAGUGAGACUGCCGGUGACAAACCGGAGGAAGGUGGGGAUGACGUCAAAUCAUCAUGCCCCUUAUGAUUUGGGCUACACACGUGCUACAAUGGACAGGUACAAAGGGCAGCGAGACCGCGAGGUUGAGCGAAUCCCAUAAAACUGUUCUCAGUUCGGAUUGGAGUCUGCAACUCGACUCCAUGAAGCUGGAAUCGCUAGUAAUCGUGGAUCAGAAUGCCACGGUGAAUACGUUCCCGGGUCUUGUACACACCGCCCGUCCCCCCACGAAAGUCAGUAACACCUGAAGCACGGUGGGCCAACCCUUCUGGGAGGCAGCCG